GAAGCACCAUUUCUGGAGCGUCUCAACUGGCGAAGCGAUCCUUUCACCGGUUGGUUUCCACCAUGGUGUGACCGGUCGUUAUGCACUUGUGGGGAUCGGUGCAUACUUAAGUCAAGCCUCAUGGUACAAACUCGGGGUAGGAGAUUCUUCUAAUGCGCAAACCUUGAUCAGACAUACCGUACAUUGUGCAACUACAUUGAGUGGGUAGAUACGGAGGACCCACAAAAUGACGGAACACGUCCAUAUGCACGUAGUGAAUCAAGAUCGGACUACCUCAGGCGGAAGGAUGAGCAUGAACGUCGGAUUGAUGCGGAAGCUUUAGAAUGGCAGGUAAAUCCUCUGGGACUCCCCACAUGGCGGGAGCGCCCAGAGUGUCGUUGUGGUGACCGUUGUUAGGUGAUAAGGUCCUUAAGACAACGAACUCGAGGACAGAGAUGCUUCGUGUGUCCUAACAUUGACGACGAUGAUUUUGUCGAGGAAGUUAGGAAAUGUCAAUUCGUACAAUGGAUCGAUACGGUCAGAGUUACUUCCAUUGGUCAAACGAUAACGCAACCUGAGACGACCACGCAAUUCAUUUAGGCAUGGAUGGAGUAUGAACGUCAGGUACAAAUUGCAAGCUUAGACUGGAGGAACAAUCCAUUAGGUUUACCUAAAUGGUCGGAGCGUCCAAAGUGUGGUUGUAGAGAUCAUUGCCAGGUGGCUACCUCGUUUGCAUAACAAACAAUUGGUAGGAGAUACUUUGUUUGCCCCAAUGUAGACGACGAUUUCGUUGUAUGUAUAACAAAUUCCAAAUUUAACUAGCAUCUGCUUAUUAUUACUAUCAUAUCUGACUAACUACUAUGUUUGUUUCUUAGGGCAAUCCAAGGAGGUGCGCAUUCACUUUAUGGAUCGACAAUGUCAAUCCAACAUAUGAUGGCCAAAAGAUAACUGAGUCUGAAACACAGGUAGAGUACCAGCGAGAGAAGGAGCAUCAAAAUGCAAUACAUGUUGAACAGCGCAGAAGGGGUCGGUAUA